GGGCAGCCCCUCUGAGACCCCGCGGCUUGGGGUCCGCGCACGCGGGUGCCGGCCCAGCUAGGCGGAGAAUCGAGGAGGGGUCCCCGGGCUCAUCACAGAGGAUUGGAAGGGCCUAGAUUACUGCCCAAUGACAAAAGUGCGGGCUUAAUGUCCUCACUCUUCAGGGAGAGAAUGUGGACUUUAGCAUUUGAACUGAAUAUUUGAGAUUGAAGAUUUCUGAAUACAUUCCCAAAGUCAGAAAUAUUUUAUCUUGAAGGGCAUGAAACGAAAUAGCACCAAAACAAAUGCUCCCAAAGGCAGCAGCACCCUCUCAGGCAGUACCAAAGCCAGAUCCCCCUUAGCACCUCUGGUACUGUACCGUACCUUGCCUUUCUGUCCAGGUUUGGUGGAAUUGACCUAUAUAUAAAUGGUAUAAAGAG
rnacentral:sRNA from 1 species